UUCUUAAUAUUUUCAUGGCCGUUUGAUAUUUAUAAUAGAUUUAGGGCAGAAGUUAGACCAUAGGGACUGCUCUAUGCUCCCAUGGUUGCCCUAACCGGGAUAUCCAUUAUCCAGGUAAAAUUUUUAGGUAUCCUUGGGAGAUCAGAUGCCUGGCAGUGACAAAAACCCAUCUCCAUCUUAAAGUGUAUAUAUACUCAACAGAUUUAUUUAGUGAUAUUAGAUCAAUGAUGAUGCUACAUUCACCAUCUUUUGUAGUUUCCAAUGGUUCAUGUUUACUCCCAUGAUCCGUUUAGUAAUAAGCCUUUCUAGUUCAGCUUGACCUUCUCACUUCUCUUUUCUUAGAGGGAGAAAGUGCCCUUUGGGCGCAUUGCUGAACUGGCGGUAAUAUGCCCAAUUUGAAUUCGUUUUUAUCCUCUAAUACUGUUGAGUAUAUUUUAGUUAUUUGUGACAGCAUCCCAUGCUUUAUUAACAAGUGUAAAUGCCCCCCCCCCCCCCCCGCAGUUAGUAGAACACCCUUGUUUAGUGUAAACUGGGAGGAACCAGACUACCUACCUCCAUGUUUGUUGUUUUCUCAUGAAGGCGUAGUUUGCUGGUAUGCUGGUGCUGUCGGUGGGGCGGCGCAUCUUCCCACGGCUCCGCUCUGGGCCCCGUCUAAAAAGAACUUUGGGGGUAAUGUGAAGCGGUCGCCAGGCUUUCACCAGUCCUUGUUUGAUAUCGCUGGUGGAUGCCGAGGGGUGCUGCCAGCUGGGUGUUGGAUGCGAUGUCCUGCUCGUUCCAUGGCCUGCCUUCAUGAGGCGCACAGGUUUAGCUGCCUCUCUUCCCGCAGCAGCGGUUUGCAUAGCCCCAUAUAUUUGGGGUUGCGGGCAGGUCUAUAUGCACCAUUGUUCAGUCGAGUAUCCCAAAUUUGGGAACAUCUUAGGCGUCAGCACCCUGGUAGUGCAAUGGGAUAGUCUCAUCCUGGGAGAGUAUAAA